rnacentral:lncRNA from 1 species
UGGUUGUGUGAUGAAAAUAUGAGAAGUUUGAUAGUUAUUCUCGCAAAUGCAUGGUUCUAGAAUAUGUGAAUUAUGAAAUCUAAACUGGAAAAUAGUUUCAACGGUUUAGCAUUUAGUUUAAUGAUGUUUUUGCAUGACAUUCCACGCAUUCUGUUGAAUAUUCUAUUUGAAUUUUUCAUUCUAGGAGUUGUUUGAGAAAACAUUAGUAACUCUGAUAUAAAACAAAUCAGAGAUCAUUCGCUACAUCAUCCAUUGUUUUCUUAUAUCGACUUAUUCAAGUAGAGCAAUUCUUUAGAGUUUAUUUAUUUUUAUAAGAAGUUACAUAAGAAUCAUAUGGAGAAUAGUUUACUUGAAUCCAGGAUGAGUCCCUGUAUCUGAGUUCUUGUUCUGUGAAUUUGGAAUAUGAUUUUAGGUUGGAAAAU